CGGGACGGGUGAGUAAUGUCUGGGAAACUGCCUGAUGGAGGGGGGUAACUACUGGAAACGGUAGCUAAUACCGCAUAACGUCGCAAGACCAAAGAGGGGGACCUUAGGGCCUCUUGCCAUCGGAUGUGCCCAGAUGGGAUUAGCUAGUAGGUGGGGUAAAGGCUCACCUAGGCGACGAUCCCUAGCUGGUCUGAGAGGAUGACCAGCCACACUGGAACUGAGACACGGUCCAG
rnacentral:rRNA from 1 species